AAAAUGUAGCUUGGACAGCCGCAUUUGGAUUUUUCGUCACCGGUCGACGUCGCUAGUCUGGGGUUCCAUUAGAGGUCCUAACCGCUGGCGAUUUUUUCCGAUUUCUGAAUAUUCAGAGAUGGUUCACCAUUGAAAUUGCAAUUUUUAGUUCCAUUUCUCUUAACCCGUUCUUAAUUAAUGUGAUGAACUUUUGAUGCCUAAC
rnacentral:lncRNA from 1 species